UCCACGCCGUAAACGAUGGAUACUCGUUCUUGGCAAUACACAGUCAGGGACUGAGCGAAAGCAUUAAGUAUCCCACCUGGGGAGUACGUUCGCAAGAAUGAAACUCAAAGGAAUUGACGGGGGCCCGCACAAGCGGAGGAACAUGUGGUUUAAUUCGAUGAUACGCGAGGAACCUUACCUGGGCUUAAAUGUCAGGCAUUUUCGGAUGUAGUCUGUCGAAAGCAGCUUAAACUGGCAAGGUGCUGCAUGGUUGUCGUCAGCUCGUGCCGUGAGGUGUCGGGUUAAGUCCCAUAACGAGCGCAACCCUUAUCCUUAGUUGCCAUCAGUUCGGCUGGGCACUCUAGGGAACUGCCAUCG
rnacentral:rRNA from 1 species